rnacentral:misc_RNA from 1 species
GUGGGAGCUGGCUUGCCUGCGAUUGCGGUGUGUCAGUCAGAGAAUUGAUGACUGAUCUAUCGCAAUCGCAGGCAAGCCAGCUCCCAC